CAACUGUCAUACUAUUGACUUAGUACAGGAACUUCUUAUGAAGAAAAUGAUUGGAUUAAACCUGGUUUUAUAGCUAGCUAAACUUCUCAAAGUGAGUUCUACUGGUAUGGAAGGAAGUUCAUUUAAAUAGCUUCGUUAUCAAUUUCGUGUUAUUCAUAACCCCAGUUCUCACAUUCUUAGUUUAUAUUCAUGAACAUUUCC
rnacentral:lncRNA from 1 species